AUACUUACCUGGCAGGGGAGAUCCCAUGAUCACCAAGGUAGUUUUCCCAGGGCAAGGCUUAUCCAUAACACUUGGUGCGUGCUGACUCCUACAUUUCCCCAAAUGCAGAAACUAGAGUGCAUAACUUGUAGUAGUGGACUGUGUUUGUGCUCUCCCCUA
ensembl:snRNA U1 U1 spliceosomal RNA